CCCAUGCCACCACAUCUUGGGAGCCCUAAUUGGUACCUCCAUCAUUAAUAAUAUUACAACUAGCAGAUCCUAUACUCCCAUCACCAUGCAUCCAAACCAACUUGAUGUUCUACUUUUGCAGCUGCAACACCAACGCCAACAUUAAUCACAGUGCCUUUUUUAAAUCCUCCGUCCAUGUGAUUUGCCGCCGCGCGCGGCCAACACUUGUUUUUUCUUCAAAUCCAUCUUCAAAGCAGCCUUCAGAAGUUUCGUUUUUCUCAAUUUGCUUCCGGCAUUGAGCUAUCCCUAUAACCAAUAUUAACCGAAAAGUCACAGGCAGCACGCCGAUGUACUUGGAAUGUUUUCUCAUGUUUUAAAAAGACAACACACAGAAUGAGCAAUAGAUAUGAUUAUGCUCUUGCUUGGUGUUACAACGCUUGGAGUGGUGACCCUUAUUUGUAGUGCUAAGAGUAAUGGAAAUAAAUUAAACUUGGGAUACAUAGACGCAGCUGUUCAUCUUUAUUCCAUGCAGACGAGAAAAUUCAUGGAUCCACGUACGUGCAGCACAAAAAUUGUAUCGAUAUGCAAGAAAACAUGCAUGCAAACGCGAAAUGAUAAUGUGGCUAAACUGGCCAUAAUUUUACGCGCAAAGUUUGACAUAAGACGAAAACAUAAUUUCUCGCCAUUGAGAACAACUGCAUGCACAGAGAUAUUGAUUGAGAGCACGCGUCAAAUAUCAUUUUAUUUAUUCCAGAGAUAGGUGUUGUUACUUAUUGAGACACUUGGUAUGAAACAACCCAUGCACGCACAAGCAUGGUUUUAUAGCAGGCUCGGUAGCUAGGAAAAUAUUAGAAUCAAAAGUUGCCUCCAAUUCCCCCACCAGCACCACCACCAAAACCUCCACCACCUCCUUUGCCUCCUCCAAUGCCACCACCAGCACCAACACCUCCACCAAAUCCUCCUCCACCUCCUGCACCACCACCAGCUCCACCUCCUAUGCCGCCACCUUUUCCAGCCCCAGCACCACCUCCUACGCCACCUCCAGCUCCACCUCCUAUACCACCACCUUUUCCACCCCCAAUGCCACCACCAACUCCUCCACCAUGUCCACCACCAAUACCCCCACCAGUGCCUCCUCCGGCCCCACUUCCUAGUCCACCACCUUUUCCACCUCCAAUGCCACCACCAGCACCCCCACCAGCGCCCCCACCGCCUCCUAUUCCACCACCUUUUCCGCCUCCAAUGCCACCACCGGCGCCCCCGCCUAAACCACCACCAUGUCCACCUCCAGCACCAUCACCGCCUCCAAGACCUCCACCUGCUCCUGCACCACCCCCACCACCAAAACCACCUCCAAUGCCUUUAGAAAAUUCAUCUUCCUCAAGUUUCCUACAUUCCGAAAUUCCUAUGACCAACGCAAAGAACACAACCAUCACACCAACAGACUUAAAUAUUAGUUUCCCCAUAUUUCUAAAAGAGUCGAAGAAAGACACAAAUGCUUGCUUUGUGAUGCUAAGCUUCAAAGGCUUAGUGCUCUAUUUAUAGAGUAACCAAGUGGCACACUUUAUUGCGUGUACUAAUCUUACUUAAUGAAAUGUCCCAAAAUUCAACUCAGUUUGAAUAGAAUCGUCAAUUGCUGGUGAAAUAAUAGUGAAGCUGUCACCAUUACUCAACUACUAACCUAAUGCAUGUCUCCACUCACCACCGUCACAAGUAAUUUACAAUUAAACCAUAUAUUUCUGACGACUAUUAAUUUUUAUCAACUAAGAUUAUCAGAAGAAAAGCUCAAUUAAGAGAUUUGGAAAUAUGAUGGCAUGGUAUCAAAUCAAAUGGACCGCACUAUAUAUUAGCAAGAAGUUGAUUCCAGUUUAGGAAACCAAAAAUGUAAUUGAUUCGAGUGGUGCUACCGAUUUAGUGUAAGCUUGUUAGCUUUGGUAUUUGUACUUUAUCAAAAAAAAAAAAAAAAAAAACUUUGGUAUUUGUACUUUGGGCUUUAGCCUUAUGCUACAGGAAUUUGAUAGUAUCUUCCAAAAUGAAGCUACUUUUUACGCAUCACAUUCACAUUUACCAGCUCUUAAUAAUGAAAGAAUGAUAUUGGAUUUUGUAAGUAAUAUCUCAAAUUUUUAUCUCGAAUAUUGAUGUGUCACUCAUUUAUUAUAUAAAAUAAUAAAUUUCAGUACUUGUAAAAUUAUUAAUCAUUCUACUUACAUUAUUCAAUAUCAUACUAAUAAAUGAAUGUCGUUUCAUUUCAAACUAAACAAUACUACUCAAGAAGUGUUGAAUUACUUAUUAUAAAAAUCUCCAUAUUAACCAUUUUUUUUGCCAGCAUGGAAGGAGUGGAAAGGGGAAGCAUCUAUACAUUUAUCAUUGAUCAUAAUUUAAUACUUUUAACAUAUUUUUUCUUUUUAAAAAAAAUUAUUUUCGGCCAUAUAUAUAUAGUCGUUCAAAAUUUCCAUAGGCCGCCAAUGGGUUCAUAGUCCAUUGACAUCCUGUUCUUGAGCGCAUGGAUUCCAGUACUAGUAAUGACUCGGACACGACUCUCAUCUCAAUAAGGAUCUAUUUGUCUCUCUUCUUAGUGGGGAUCUACCUUAUUGUAAUGCAUCAGCAUAUAAAAAAAAAAAAAAAAUUCCUUGCUCCACUACAUCUUUGGUGUCCUAUGCAUCAUAGAAUUGAUUGUUCUCCAUAAGCAAAACCCAGAUCACUUUUAUUCCUAGAACCAAUCUCAUAAACACUAUUCACGAUUUCACAUCACCAUCAAAAUUACCAUCAGAUCCUUGCUUUUCAACCCUUGCGGCUGCAGCUCCAGCGUUAGUCAAACUGCCGCCACUAAUCCUUGCACUGUCCCCUAACGUUUCUGCAAUAAUACUAGUUGCAUGUGGAUGAUAAAUCAUAUUUUAGAGCUUCCGGCAUUGGCUGUCCCAAUCGUCAGUACAAACAUUAAAGUCACCAAGCUAACACGUACAUUGUGAGAAUUUUGCCGUCUUUCUAUUUUAUUCAAGCAAAAGAUCGAUCGAAAGGAAGAAAAGAAAGCUUGUUUUAUGGCAUUGGCAGGCUCAGUGGGAGGCCCUAUUUGUAGCGUAUGAAAUAGUAGAAAAUGUUAAUGCAAUCUGUUCAUAUUUGUUCGUCAGAUGUUACUGUCAUCGAUCAGGAGUACGUAAACGUAAUAAAUUUUAAUUCCGAAUUAAAAAUUUUGAAAAGAUUUAAGCUCAAUAAUUUUGAGACGUGUACAUUUGCACGAUAGAGAUAUAUAAGAAAUCCUUUUUUUUUUUUGGGUGGCGCAAUUGAUCCACUUAAAUUUACUGUUUAUAUGUCCAAAAUCUGAAACACAAAUAUAAUUGAUUUGAGAAGUUAUCUUGGAUCCAAUACACUAACAAUCAUCAAUCGCGUAAGUGAUUGUCAAACAAAAUUUGAGAAUGGAUUCUCAUAAAAAAAAGGUGAUAAUCAGAAUAUCACCUUGGUUCUUUUUUUACUUUCACAUGCAAAUAGUGAGAAAGGGAAUGGAACUUUCUAUUUCACUAUUCAUAAAUAUUUAUUCCUAGUGGGAGAUCUUAUUCAUAUAUUUAUGCUAUCAUUAGUUACUGAAUUCUAGAAAAUUAGGAAAUCGCCCACAAUUGUAUAUAUCCCCAUGCCACCACAUCUUGGGAGCCCUAAUUAGUACCUCCAUCAUUAAUAAUAUUACCACUGGCAGAUCCUACACUCUCAUCACCAUGCAUCCAAACCAACUUGAUGUUCUACUUUUGUAGCUGCAACACCAACGCCAACAUUAAUCACAGUGCCCUUUUUAAAUCCUCCGUCGGUGUGAUUUGCGGCUGCGCGCGGCCAGCACUUGUUUUUUUGUCCAAAUCUAUCUUCGAAGCCGCCUUCAGAAGUUUCGUUUUUUUCUCAAUUUGCUUCCGGCAUUGAGCUAUCCCUAUAAUCAAUGUUAAUAGAAACGUCACAGCUAACACGCCGAUGUACUUGCAAUGUUUUCUCAUGUUUUAAAAAGACAACACACAGAAUGAGCAAUAGAUGUGAUUAUGUUCUUGCUUGGUGUUACAACGCUCGGAGCGGUGACACUUAUUUAUAGUGCAAGAGUAAUGGAAUUAAAUUAAUGCAUUCAGUUGAAGAUGUUUCUAUGACAGAAAUUUCUAUAAUGCGGUGUUUAAAAUUAUGUUGUCAAUGACAUAACAAACAUAAAUUUUGUAUAAGAUUAGUAAAUAGAAGGUAAAACAAGUAAAUUAAUAUAAGAGUGGUAAAUAUGUGUUUUAAAAUAACAAACAAAAUAAACAAUUAUAAAAAUAACACAAAAUUUGUAAAUCAACAUUAAAAUUUAAUUAAAAAUAUUUUAUUCAUUUAAUUUAAUUAACCAAAGAAAAAAAUUCACUCAUCAAUUUGAAAAUAAAAAAAAUUGUAUUGAGAACAAUUGGAAUAAGGAUUGAAUUUUAUUGAAUUAGUAUAACCAUGAGUUCUAUAUUCAUCCUAGGACAUUUAUAAUUUUUUUUUAUCAUAGUAUUUGUUUAUUAUGAAAAAUUAUUUUUCUUGAUGUGGAUCAAGCCAAAAACAAAAAGAUAUUCAUAUAUUAGUAGACAUAUAUGAUAUAUGAUGUAGGAUGUUAUGUGUCGCGAGUAGAGUACUUUUCGGAGGCCAUAACUUGGACUACAUGUGUUUGUUUUUGGCAUAUAAUAUAUUAUUUCGAAGCUUACGAUGAGACGAACAAAAUUCAAAACUGCCUAAGUCGUUCUACCCUGUGAUCAAGCUGGAAAUUCUACUACUUUCCUGGUCAUUUUAUAGUUUUAAGAUUUUUCCCUAUUUUUUCUAUUUUUUCUUGGAUUUUUAUCUUCUCUUUAGAAUUCGAAUUUGAGUGUCAUUUGAGUGUCAUUUGUUUUUCUUUUCUUAUUUUGAUUAGAAAAUUUUAAUUAUUAUAUUAUAUUUCGGAUUUUCUUAUUUUGGUACAUUCACGAUAUUUAGGCUUAUUAUAAAAGAGGCUCAAAACUCUAAUAUUAUUCAAUCAAACUUUCAACAAGAUUUACCAUUAUUCAGAAACCUAGUUUCUUUUAUCAGCAAACUCAACAACGUUUGUGUUUUGUCAAUAUAUUUAUAACAUUGGAUAUAGUUUUGAGUUUUAUACAUAUUUCAUGUAGUUUCAAAAUUUGUUUUUGACUAUACUUAGGGUGCGUUUGGAAUUGAGGUGUUAUAGCUUUUAAGAUACAGCUGCUGUGGAAAAAAAUUGUAACUAUGAAAUAAAAGUUAAUAAUAUGUAAUAAAUAUAAAUUUUGAAUAAUAUGUUAGCCUAAAGGGCUACACAUAUUGUAAUUUUGAUGAUAACAAACAUAUGUAUUAAGUGAUUUAAUAAAUAUUAUAUUUCACAUUUUCACUAGUUUUUGAAGGGUAAUAUUUAUACAAGUGAAUCAAGUGAAAUCAAGCUCAAGACACUAAACGGACAACGACGAAAUCAAGAAUAAAAUUUAGAGCUCAACGGACAAAUUAGUGUGAUAAAUUCUUGUAAAGCCGGUAUGAUUAAAUUGAUGCAUGAUUUAGCAUUUGAGAAGCUCAAGAGAUUAAUUUAAUUAAUCACUUUUUAUAAACUAAAAGGUUUUAUUUUUAUAAGAUAAAGUACCUUGUGGUUUUGAGUAAUUUGGACUUAAAUGCUAAGUUUUGAAAUCUUUGAUUUUAAUAAGUAUUAUAAUUAAAUUUCAGAGUUGGACGUUUUUACAAACAUUUGAAAUGUUUUGGGUCAUACUAUAAUUUAUUAAUAGUUUGGACUAAAGUGAAAAAUUUUGAGAACUUUGAUAAAUAUGGGUAUUAUGUUGAAAAUGAAUUUUUUGCGAAAUAAUAAUAUAUUUGGGGCCAUGUCAUAAUUUCAAAAAGUUUUGAGUUGACAAUCAUUAUUAGGAAAUUCUGAAAUUGGACCUAUUUAUAAAGUUUUAUAAUAUUUGGGCCAUAGUAUAAUUAUAUAAAGUUUUGGGCUAAAUAUAAUUUUGAUAAACAGUAUUACUGUAGCAAAAUUCAAAAAUAACGGUGAAUGGCUAGCUGGAUAAAUCAAGCGGCUAACCACUUGGGCGUUGGAAUUUACCUAUAACAGCUAACCGCCCGAGCGGCUAACCGCCCAAGCGGUUAGGAAUUUACCUAUAACGGCUAACCGUUUGGGCGCUGGAAUUUACCUAUAACGGCUAGUUUUCGGACUUUAAUUAUAAAAACUCAACUCCAACUUCAUUUUAAGAACUAAUACAAGGAAAAACAACAUCAUAUAACAUAUAUUGAGCUUCCAUUUUCGUAAAUCAUCAUUGAGCUAUAAUUUGUUAUCUACUCUUAAAGAGAGUUUCAUUGUUGUGAUUUUCAUUUCUCAUCAAAUUGUGAGUGUUCAAGUGUGAGAAACACUUGGGGUGAAGAGAUUGGGGAGAUAAUCUCUUGUUGUAAAGGUCCAUUGACAUUUUGGAAGUCAAUUGUAAACAUUUGAAGCAUUGUGAGGCUUGGAUAGUGAAAUCCUCAAGCCGAGUGUGCUUGGAGGCGUGGACGUAGGCGGGGAUAGCCGAACCACGUAAAAAUCUUUGUGUUUGUUUUCUCUUCCCUUACUCUUUUAAUAUUGUGCUUGAUUGAAUUUAUUGUUUUUGAUUUGAUUAAGGCAAUAGAUUAAAUUGUUGUGUGAAUUAUGUUGCAUAAUUUUAAAAUCCCAAUUCACCCGCCCUCUUGGGUUGCAUAACUUGCAUUUCAUAAUAAUUUUGAUAAAAUUAUUGAAGAUAUAAUAUAUUUUUCAUCAUAUAAGUGAAAAACCAUAUUAAUAUAGCUUCCAAGCUACAAAAGCUAGUGUUUGUCAAAUACUUUAGUGCUGUAACUUUUAAACUACAACUGCCCAACCUCAAUCCUAAACGCACCUUUAAAGAUUAUUUGAUGUUGUUUAAGGAGCUUCAAAAUGAUAAAAAAAACAUGAAAAGUAUCAUUUUUUUUAAAAUCUAAUUUUGAGAUAAAUUUUAUCCUUAACAAAAUUUCACAUAAAUCAUCACAUAAAUUACAUAAACUCAAAAUUAUCAUUAUUCAAUUUAGAUGUAAAAUCAGAAAAUAUAUAAGGUAAUUAUUAUUAUAAUGAGUUUUUAAUUUGCAUUUGUAGGUUUUUAUUUUUAUCAAUAACUCUUAUAUUAAUUUAUUUGUUUUACCGUCUAUUUACGAGUCGUGUGUUUUGUUUAUAUAAUUUUUGUUUUAUUUUUUAUUUAAUGUUGAUUUACAAGUUUUAUAUUAUAUAUGUAAGUUUUUGUUUUGUUUACUAAUGAUACACUAAUUUACCACUCUUAUAUUAAUCUACUUGUUUUAUCUUCCAUUUAUAAUUCUUAUAUUUCAUUUACCUAAUUUAUAUUUUAUUUUACACUUAUUAUUGAUUAACAAGUUUAUGUUAGAUUUGCCCUUUGUUUUGUUUGCCAUUGAUACACCAAUUUGACACUCAUACGUUACUUUAGUUUUUUUUAAUCUUCUAUUUACAUCAUUUAUAGUUUAUUUACACUUAAUAUUGAUUUACAAAUUUUAUAUUAUAUCUGUAAUUUUUUUGUUUACUAAUAAUACAUCAAUUUACCAAUAUUAUUACGUUGAUUUUGCUUAUCUUACCUUCCAUUUACAGGUCUUGUGUUUUAUUUACAUAAUUUAUAUUUUUAUUUUACACUUGAUUUACACAUUUUAUGUUACAUUUGUAAGUUUUUGUUUUAUUUACAAAUAAUAUACCAAUUUGCCACUCCUAUGUUAGUUUACUUAUUUUACCUUCCACUUAAAACUCUUAUGUACCAUUUACAUAAUUUAUGUUUUAAUUUAUAUUUAAUAUUGAUUUAUAAGUUUUAUAUUAAAUUUACAUGUCUUAUGAUUCGUUUAUAAAUAAUGUUUGAUUAUGGUAUUAAUGCCAUGAUUUUGAUUACGACAUCAUAAACUGAGAUAAAAUUAGGUUUUACUUUAAGUUAACAUGAAAGUGGCAUGUGGUUUUUUCCCCAACAAAAUAAAAAUUAAAUGGUUGGAUUGGUAUUUAUUAGAUUUGAACACAUAAGUCCAUAAUUAAUCCCAUAACAUUGGAUUUUCCGUUUUGCAAUCCAAUACAAAAAAUCGUUUGGUUUCGAUUAGAUCUAUUAGUUUGAUUGGAUUGAAUUAGAUCUUAAAUACCUCUAAUUUGUUCAACAUCAAUUUGUUUCAUUUGAAUUUAUGGAUACGCGGGCUCAAUUUGAUCUUUAAUAGAUCUCUUCAUACCGGACCUAUUGAUAAUAUACAUGAUCUAUCCGAAGAAUAUUGGUUCUUUUUAAUUUCUUCUUCUCGUAAAUUUUAUUAAAAAAAAAAACUACAAUCCUGUAGACUUUGCUAUAUACAGAGGUUAAUUAAAAAAAAAAAAGGUCUUAAAAAAUUUUAUAAAUUAAGUUUCACUUUCAAUGGAUUAGAAAUUUUGAACUUGGGAUACAUAGAUGCAGCCGAUCAUCUUUAUUCCAUGCAGACAAGAGAAAAUGCAUGGAUCCACGCACGCGCAGCACAAAAAUUAUAUCGAUAUACAAGAAAACAUGCAUGCAAAUGCAAAAUGAUCAUGUGCAAAAACUCGGACGCGAGAGUCACGACCUCUUGGCUAAACUGGCCAUAUAUAAUUUUACGAGCAAAGUUUGAAAUAAGAUGAAAACAUAAUUUCUCGCAAUAAACCUACCAUUGAGAACAACUGCAGGUAUAGAGACAUUGAUUAAGAGCACACGUUAAAUAUCAUUUUAUUUAUUCUAGAGAUAGAUGCUGUUACUUGUGAGAUACUUGAUUUUCUCGCUACAUAUCUAUGAAACAGCCCAUGCACGCACAAGCACGGUU
rnacentral:lncRNA from 1 species